UUUGGAGUGUGUUCAGUGAGGGAGUUCUAUAGACAGGACAGUGAGGAGAGCGCCUGAGGAGCAUGUACACACACACAAGUAGAGUGCUGCUGGGACCGACGCUUUUCCCCAGACGCUCCACAUGGACACAGUAAAGAAGAGGUCGUGGCUAUAUUCGGCAAGGUCAUCAAAGAGCCUGGAGUCAGCGCUCAUCAUCAUCAUCAUCAUCAUCAUGCUGUUUGGUUCAGUUCAGCUGUCCUUGACCCCUCUGCUCUCUUUUCUGGAAGUUUCUGUGAUUUGCUGCGCCGUGCGGUUCAUCGAAUCCCUCAGAGAGCCUUUCACCUGUCUCCUAACAGCUCCCAGAAUGCAGCGCUGUGCAGGACGACACACGCCUGGCAAUUAGUGGAAUGGAAACUGGAGUGCUCUUCUGAGAGCUGAAAUAAUUGGAUGUUAGAGCUCAUGGAAACGCAAAAAGACAAGAAUAAGAGUCGGAGGAUGUGAAGAACAAACUUUUGGUGCGAUGUAAACACUAGAUGACACUUGUUGAUGGAGGGCAGCAGAUUCUGGAUUUAGAAGAAAACCUUUAUCGAGUCCCACCGCCCUUGAAACGGAUGACAUCGAUUGGACAGCCAGAAGAUUCCCGACCCCUCCUGCCCUGGAGGACGAUCAAUGGACCCGCGGGCCGCUCCCGGAACAUCAGCAGAGGAUUAAACAAUCUCCCAGCACAACACAAUUAACUCCACAACACCUCACAUCAAUAUUUAAGAGCAAACUACAGAUAGCACAGAGAAAAAAAAUGCUUCGAAUUUUGUAUAUCGCAUGGCAAUAUUAAAGCAAUAGUUCACCCAAAAAUUACAAUUUGCUGGAAAUCUGCUCACUAUCAGGCCAUCCAAGAUGUAGAUGAGUUUGUUUCUUCAUCAGAACAGAUUUGGAUCCAUUGAAGUGAAUAGGUGCCGUCAGAAUCUGAAUGUUUAAACAUUCAGAUGUCACCCCCUUUCUAAUCAUUAACUUUCAUAUUUAACUGUAGUUUAAUUACACAUUUUUUUCUCAGUAACUGUGACUACAAUUACAUUUUUUUUUAAUUAAAUUAAGUAACUCUGUUACAUGUAACUAGUUACUCCCAACACUGAGUAUAAUGUAAAAAUAGUGUUGAUAGACUGUUACAUCUAUCAUUUUACAAGAUUGAGAACAGCAAAAAACGUACAAAUAACAGCAAAGAGUGUGUCUGUGUGAGCUGGUCUUGAUCUGUGGUGUGUGUGUAAACGCCGGCAGGUUUAAACAAAGGUAAAAUUGAGAAAAAACGCUUUUGACAGAUCAGAAAGAGAACCCCCUUUGUUUUCCACCAGGAUCAAAUGAGUGCUCUUGAAAGACCAGCAGACUGUGUUUUAUUAAGUAGGGCUCCAGAGCAGCACUGCUUCUCUCCAAAGUGCUAUUCUCUCCUAAUAGAGAACUGAAAGCCGCUGCGACCUCUAAGUUAACCUCCGCUGAGACAUAGCGCUCCACAGAUGCUCCCAGAAUGGAUAUUUCACCUUGUUGUUUACCCCUUUGCAGAUUUACAGUACAUGGACUGUGUGUGUGCAGUCACCUAUAACCUCUACUGCGAACAUGCGUUUGGUUGGCGAGAUGUUUGUCUGUGAAUGUCGACAGGUUUUGCUAUUCUUUUGGGGUUUGCUUAAGGAUAUAGAAACAGUAUUGAGUGUUAGUAAAUUCUCAGAGCUUAACUGCGGUUUUUGGUUUCUACAUUGGUUUAGCAUCCAUACCAGGGAACUACACUGAAUGCAUCUCUAGCGUAUAACACCCUUGAGGUUUGAAUCAGGAUUUUUAAAUGAGUAUAGCUGCACUGUCUGCUCAUUUAUUCCCUUUAAUCUGCGUCCUUUGGGUGUUAGUAUGUGCACGAGGGUGCACUGCUAUGAGCCUACUAAGUAAGCUGGGUUAUUGUUGAUAACUAAAACUAGAACUAUAAAAUGUUACUUGAAAUACAAUUACAACUUAUUUUAUUUCAGCUAGUUUUCCAAGGCAACAUUUCUUAUUUUCAUUUAGUUUCGAAGGAAUAGUUCACCC